rnacentral:misc_RNA from 1 species
UACGGAGGGUGCAAGCGUUAUCCGGAUUCACUGGGUUUAAAGGGUGCGUAGGCGGGUAAGUAAGUCCGUGGUGAAAUCCUGCAGCUUAACUGCAGAACUGCCGUGGAUACUAUUUAUCUUGAAUGUUGUUGAGGUGAGUGGAAUAUGUCAUGUAGCGGUGAAAUGCUUAGAGAUGACAUGGAACACCGAUUGCGAAGGCAGCUCGCUAAACAAAUAUUGACGCUGAGGCACGAAAGCGUGGGUAGCAAACAGG